AACGCCAGAUCCUUAACCCACAGUGCAAGCCCAGGGCUGGAACCCACAUCUUCAUGGGUACUAUGUCGGGUUCCUAACUUGCUGAGCCAUGGUGGGAACUCCAGAAGUCUAGGGAGGAGAUAGAACUUGCCCAUGAUUCCAGUGUCAGAAAGUUACAAGGUCGUGGUGCUUGGCUUUGCACAAGGUGCCUCUGAUCCUAGCCUGUGCUCUCAUGCCUCCCUCCAGGCUCCCACUGCCUGCUCCUGAUGCAUUUCCCUGAAGCUGUGUCUCCAUUUGUUAAGAAUCUGUUCAUAUCUGAAAGCAUACUAAAUUCUGUUCAAGUAAAAUAAAACUUGGAAUUUAAAACUUCAGAAACAACCAUCACUUGCUCUGCCUGGUUUAACUUGCUCCACUUCCUGCCUCUUCUCCGACUUGCUGCUUAUUCCUGAAGCCCAGGCCCCUCCCUGCCUGUCCUCCGUAACCCUUUCUUAUUAAUAACUUCAAGUACCCUAAUCAGACACUCUUGGACAGCAAUUUGUUUUUAAUCUUCAUGUUCUGAUUAUGCAGUAGGUUUCCUGGUAUUAUUGCAAUUUUCACAAUGUGACUUUAGAAUUAUAGGAGUGGACUAUAUUUGCACAUUUCUUCUGCUUUUUUCUUUCUGACCCUGUGUCUCUCAACCCAUAGGCCCUUUUGGUCCUCAGGUUGAAAACAAUUUUGUUUUACUCUGCGACUAUGUUAUUAUUUUAUUAGAUUACCUUAUUAUUCUUCAGGUUUAACUACUGAAUAACUAGUGCAUAUUAAUAAUUACAAAAAUGUAAUAGAUAUAAAUGUAACUAUAGUUGCUAAAAACAGAUAUAGAGAAAACUAGCUGGAUUUAAUCUACUGGUUUGCCCGGGGUCAGUGGAUUCUUGCUUCACCAUGUGCAUGAAACUAGUUCUUAGGGAAAUUAGUAAGGAGUAGGUGGGGAGGGACAGGGUGGCCAUUGAGUUCAAAAUGGAAUAUGAAUUUGCAGUUUGAAAAAUCAAAUUGGAGAUGUGGGGGGGUUAUUUACCUUUUUUCUUUUGCACUGCAGAUUAACCUUAAAGAUGUUGGUGAAAUUUAGAAGAUACGUGUUGGACGUGACAACAGUGGAAAGGAUCCUAGGUGGAACCUGGAAGAAAUGCGACUUGAGAAGAUGAACACCCAGGAGCUGUUGUGUUUCGCUGUUGAUCCCUGGGUAGCUGAGAAUGAAAACGAUGGAGACCUACGGGAGGACAUGCCCGCCGUGAGAACGAACAGAGCGCCUUGGCCAGGUUGAUGUUUUUUCCAUUGAGGCAGUGGCUCUUGGAGAAUUGGAGAAAAUUUGGAUUAGUCAUGAUGGGACAGGUCCAGUUUUCACAGGAAAUGGCUGGUUUCUUGAGUGCGUUGUUCUUAAAUGUGAAGAGGAAGACGACAACCAGGAGGCACUGUUCCCGUGCAACAGGUGUGCUGUCACCGGUCCCUCACUGCGCGCGGUGAUGCGCCCUUUGUCCAGGACUUCCAGCUGGACACCAGCCUGCCCCUCCAUCUGUCUGGCCACAUUGCACCCUCCUUUAAAACCUGAGUGGAAGGCUUGCACUCCCUAGGAAGCUGCUCCUUAUCAUGUUAGUAAUUCUCUUUUUCUUUGUAACACUUAGUAUUUUUCUCUUCUGGAAUAGGCAUGCUGCAAUGAAAGGAAGCUGAAUUAGGAUUUCAAAAGCAGGUCUUUGAAUCUCACACACUUGCUGUUUCCCACUAGUUCUGCAGACGUGGGUGCUGCUCUCAGCUUCUCUGAGGUUCAGUUUCCUCAUAUGUAAAGUGGGGAUGAUACUUGUUCCUCCUGGUUCAUUGAAUCAUAAAAUCAAAUAAAGGAAUAUAUAGGAACUGUGAACUCUAAGGCAUUAUCCAAAUAAUGGUGCAGAUAUAAGUUAAGAGAAUUAAGUUGCAAGGGUAGCUCUGGAAUUCAUUGACCAUUCAUAGGUGUGUUACUUCAAUUCUCCAAUCCUCAAUUUCAGAAUUUUAUGAUAAGAAUGAUUAAGUAAGACCUACCUACUUUAUAGGGUUGUUAUAAGUAGACUAUCAAUAUAUCCUUAAACAAAGUGCCCUAAAAAUGGAAAUGAUAUAAUUUCCCAUCAUUCUUCAUUAGUCUGCAGAGUAUGUUGAUUCAGUCAUUGUACAAAUAGUAAUUGACCACAAACCAUAGCAGGAAGUGGGACAGUUGAGGAGUUUCAGCGAUUCAGCAAUAUAUGGUCCCUACCUGAAAGGAGUUUAUGGAAUCCCAGGUGAGAGCAGAUGCUCCCAUCCUAAGGGCCAUGACAGAGACGUGUGUGAGAGCCCAGGUGCCAAGGUGGAUGUCUCUGUGAUUGCAUGUUGCUGAAUCCAGAGAACAUGUGCGUUGCAUUGUGUUGAUUCAUUUAUUCCCCAUCAUUUAUUCAAGCAGAACUUUGCACACCUCCUAGGUGUCAGGCAGGAUACCACAUCCUGGAUAUAUAGAGAUAAAAAAAAAAAAAAACCUGUCUUCAAGGAGUUCCCAUUUUAUGAUGAGAGACGGGAGGAAGGAUGUGGUCCUAACAAAGCUGGACAGCUGGGCAGCUGGAUGUGCUCUGAGUUUAGCAGGCAUCUGGGCAUCUUUGACUCCUGAAGUGUUGUACACUUUUUCAGACACGCAGAGAAGCCCCUCAGUGGACUGAGUGGGUUUUACCUUACAAUAGUUCUGAUUCUAGGAAAUACCCAUUCUUCUGAAACUUAUAAGGAGUUGCAUUCUUACUUCUCUGAAGGAGAUGUGUAACCCUUCGCAAUCUUCUGUUUGUUUUCUUACUAUACAUCCAUUUGACAUGCAGGUGCAUCACAGUCGUGAUUGCCAUUUUGUAACAUUCAGGCUCUAGGAAGAGACCUUAUAUUUUUAGUUUAUUCAAGAAAUCUUUUCAUUCCUUAAUGGGGUGUGAAAAGAGCAAAGAUUAAAGUUUUUCAGGGCUGGCUUUGAAUUACAACUCUCACUGAGUAGCGCUAGGAGGCUCCGUUUCUUCUUACAUAAAAUAGCAAUAAUGACACCUAAUUUGGCAAAGUUGUUUGAGGAUUUCACACAAUACACAUAAAUUACCUGCAGAUAUCUUGCAAUGAUUAGAAGCUCCAUGAUGAUAAAUGGUACUGCAGUAGAAACACUUUUAGAUUAAAGAAAUCUUUAGACACAAUGCCAUAUGUGGAAAAGAGGUGAAAAAUUUUAUUUCUAGAUUAUAUGUCAAGUAUUUAGAACUCUCCAAAUAAUUACUUUUAAAACUCUAGGUCUGUACAGUCCAAUACAGUAAGUAGAUUUUGUAAAUGAUCCUCUGAGGACAGGCCCCUGCAAAAAUCACUGCAUUCACUACAAACUUGAUUUGUUGGAAAAUUCUACUGAGACUUUGGAGAGUUUAGAAGCAGGUUUUCCUAGUUUCCCCAGAAUAACGUAGCCAUUUAAACUCAUGCCUCCUUCUACUAAUGAGAAAAGAAAAAGUAUCUGAAAAAGAAAUUAUUUAGGACUUUACUGCAGGGUCAGAUGAAAAUAGAGGGGGUUCUCUUCUGCCGUGGGGCCCUCUUAGGUUUGCAGCCCUGCCCUCUGUGUGCACAGGGUCUGGCACUUACCGCUCCCUGACCCUGUAGAGGCUCCCGGUGAAGCGAGAACUCUACGAAGCAACUCAUCCCAGCCUCACCCGCGGCCUCAGAGGGGCUCCAUGACACUUCUGUUCCACAGGUGGCUGGGCGAACACCAAGAUGACCUGCCAGACGGAGCGGGAGCUGCUCGCCGAAAGCCGCUUCGGUACAGGAGGAGGGAUGGACCCCCUGCCUCCUGAGAGGGCCACUGCGCCUCCCACAGGCUGCUUACCUGCCUGUCACCGUGUGGCUGUCCUUUCCUGGACGGCAGCAGACACCUGCAGGGCCAGCCUGUGUGGAACACAUCCGAGGCUCUUGGGAGAAGCUUCUGCCCGAGUUGGGUGCAUCGCUUCCUCUUCUUCUCACUUCCUCCCCGAAACCUGGCACCUGCUAGGUCUACGAAUAGGUGGCCUUAGUGGGAAGUGACUGAAGAGGCACAGAACGUUUGAUUACGGUAAGAUGUUUUCAUACAACCUAUGCUAAUUUUCAAGCAGAAGUGCUAUUCUUAGAUAAUGGUCUGUCUCUCUUAGUAUUGGUGGUAAAAUAAAGAAGCAAAUGUGAAAAGAAUACAGUUGAUUGGGUUACAUUUCAUUCCUGCUGCGCUUCACGCUGAUCUUCACCCUCCUAGUUUCUUGGAGCUGGUCCCUGGGUCUGCAGCCGGCAGCAGCCAAGAGGCCUGCCAGGCGCAUGUCUUCCAUCCAUCCGUCACUC